UCAAUGGAAGCAAUGUCUGGCUGUAGGCAC
rnacentral:misc_RNA from 1 species